AUACGGAGGAUGCGAGCGUUAUCCGGAUUUAUUGGGUUUAAAGGGAGCGUAGGCGGGAGCUUAAGUCAGCGGUUAAAUGGUGCGGCUCAACCGUGCCCUGCCGUUGAAACUGGGUUUCUUGAGAGUGCAAGAGGCGGAUGGAAUUCAUGGUGUAGCGGUGAAAUGCUUAGAUAUCAUGAAGAACUCCGAUUGCGAAGGCAGUCCGCUGGGGCACGUCUGACGCUGAUGCUCGAAGGUGCGGGAAUCAAACAGGAUUAGAUACCCUGGUAGUCCGCACGGUAAACGAUGAUUACCCGCUGUCGGCGGCAGACAGUCGGCGGCCAAGCGAAAGCGAUAAGUAAUCCACCUGGGGAGUACGCCGACAACGGUGAAACUCAAAUGAAUUGACGGGG
rnacentral:rRNA from 1 species